rnacentral:rRNA from 1 species
AUUGAACGCUGGCGGCAGGCUUAACACAUGCAAGUCGAGCGAGCGGCGGACGGGUGAGUAAUGUCUGGGAAACUGCCUGAUGGAGGGGGAUAACUACUGGAAACGGUAGCUAAUACCGCAUACCAUCAGAUGUGCCCAGAUGGGAUUAGCUAGUAGGUGGGGUAAUGGCUCACCUAGGCGACGAUCCCUAGCUGGUCUGAGAGGAUGACCAGCAACACUGGAAGUGAAACACGGUCCAGACUCCUACGGGAGGCAGAAGUGGGAAAUAUUGCAAAAUGGGGGAAAGCCGGAUGCAGCAAUGCGGCGUGGGUGAAGAGGGCCUUCGGGUUGUAAAGCACUUUGAGCGAGGAGGCGUUACUCGAAGAAGAAGCACCGGCUAACUCCGUGCCAGCAGCCGCGGUAAUAC